rfam:Nadsonia fulvescens var. elongata DSM 6958 unplaced genomic scaffold NADFTscaffold_5, whole genome shotgun sequence.
GAUCUCUUGGCCCAGUUGGUUAAGGCAUUGUGCUAAUAACGCAAGGAUCAGCGGUUCGACUCCGCUAGAGAUCA